UUACGGCCGCAUCACGUUGAAACAUCAGUUCUCGUACGAACACCGAAGUUAAGCAACGUUGAGACUUGGUCAGUACCGGGAUGGGUGACCGUUUAGGAAUAC